UCGGAUGGUUUACGAAGUUUC
rnacentral:piRNA from 1 species